GAUGAACGCUGGCGGCGUGCCUAAUACAUGCAAGUCGAGCGAACGGACGAGAAGCUUGCUUCUCUGAUGUUAGCGGCGGACGGGUGAGUAACACGUGGAUAACCUACCUAUAAGACUGGGAUAACUUCGGGAAACCGGAGCUAGUACCGGAUAAUAUUUUGAACCGCAUGGUUCAAAAGUGAAAGACGGUCUUGCUGUCACUUAUAGAUGGAUCCGCGCUGCAUUAGCUAGUUGGUAAGGUAACGGCUUACCAAGGCAACGAUGCAUAGCCGACCUGAGAGGGUGAUCGGCCACACUGGAACUGAGACACGGUCCAGACUCCUACGGGGGGCAGCAGUAGGGAAUCUUCCGCAAUGGGCGAAAGCCUGACGGAGCAACGCCGCGUGAGUGAUGAAGGUCUUCGGAUCGUAAAACUCUGUUAUUAGGGAAGAACAUAUGUGUAAGUAACUGUGCACAUCUUGACGGUACCUAAUCAGAAAGCCACGGCUAACUACGUG
rnacentral:rRNA from 1 species